GAACUCAGAGAUCUGCCUGUCUCUUCUGCUGAUUCAAUGUUGUGCCCAAGCCGACAAGUGAUGAUCUGAUUAUUUCUCCCAUGCAUAACACACCCACUCUAACCUUGCCCCCUUUCCCAAGUUACUCUUCCCUUAUAGAAGAAUGCUCACAUGAUGUCGUGGGUGGCGGGGUAGAUUUAAGUCAGCCGGAAGAGUGCUUGUGAGCUUCAAGUUCGAGCCCCAGAGCUGCAUAAAUGUACCAUGGUGGUGCUGGCACACAAGACCACCAGUUAGGAGACAGAUGGGGGAGGAACAGAAGAGCUCAAGGUCCAUCCUCGGGUACAAUAGCAAGUUUGAGACCAGCCUGAUCUACAGAUGAGAUACUGUCUCAAAAGUCAAUGAAAGAGAUGGUCUGCCCUCGUCAUCCAGACCUGCCCCUCCCCCACUCUAGCUCUCCCCCCUCCGCUUUUGGCUCUGGACAGUUCGGUUCCAGUCACUCUGUGCGUAACAUCCUUUCCGGUGUCACCAAUGGUACUGCCUUGAUGCUGAUUCCAGAGGUCGAUUCGCUUUUAUUGACCUAGGUUUGAUAACUGCGUGUUUUGUUUUGCUUCCUUUUGUAGAGGUAGAGUUACACUAUGAACCCACACGGUCCUUAAACUCCUGAAUCUCCCGCCUUAGUCUCCUCCGCAUCCUAAGAUCAAAGCACACCUUUUUUUAAUGGAUGUGAAGUCUACCUUAUGUUAUAAGCAAACACUAUUUAUUUUAUAUGAGGGACCUGAACAUUCCUGCAUUUUGGUGCCUUUGAGGGUGCUUUACAGACGGAGCCUUUCCCCGGCCUCUCUUCCUCCCUCCUUCCCUCCCUCCCUACUUCCCUUCCUUCCUCCCUCCCUCCCAACCCUCUCACUUUCUUUCAUUCUCUCGGUCUUCAUUUUUAACUAUUUGUAUGACACGUGCUUGCGGAGGUCAAAGGACAACCUCCGGUGUCAGCCCUCCACUUCCUCCCUACGGAAGACAGAGUCUUUAAUUGCACUAGAGCUGAAUUCUUCAGGAUUCCGGUGUAUGCUGAAGACCAGCUGAGACAUCCAGCCUUGCGGAGUGAACCACUACUGGAUUCUUGGCUCUUCUGUUGUUUAUGGAGGCAUGGUCUCAUGGAGUCUAGGUUGGCCUUUAACUCACUACGCAAUGAAGGUGAACUUGAGCUGGAGCCUUCCUGCCCUCCUCCACAGCUAAGAUUAAGAGGCUGUGUAUGCACACACGUGUGCCGUGACACACCCUUGGAGAUGAGAGGACAACAGGCUGAGGCCCAGGAGAUGGUACUCAGGUAGGUGUCUGGCUUGGUGGCCUUCAUUGCCUAGUUGUCUCAGUAGCCUAAAUGUGCACUUAGGGAGGGCCAUACCAGGCUGGAUGCGGAGCGAUCAGAGAACUUCGGGGAGUCAACUCUUGGCUGAACUGUAAUGACUGAUGUAAGGUACAUUUGAGGGUAAGGGUAAAAUUAUUGUAGAUUGAGGGAGAGUACAGCCAGGGGCAUCUGCAAAAGGACUGAACCAGUCCAUGAGAGAAGAGAGGUGUGUGUGUGUGUGUGUGUGUGUGUGUGUGUGUGUGUGUGUGUGUGUGUGCAAGAGAGACACGAGAACCAAGAGACAGAUACUCAGUAGAAGGGCCAAGAGAGCACAAGGCUGAAACAGCUGGGUUGUAUAGGGAAAGCAGCAGAGGGAUUUGGGCUUAGCUCAGGGUGAGUGCCAGGAGUAUGGAGGGGCCUUCUGUGGGAGACUUAGGCGAGGCUCAGUACGAUGAAGGCUUUCCUCCACGGUGGUCCUUGAGGAGACAGUCCUUGCUUGUUCAAACUGUUUGUUCAUGGUGGAAAUGGAUGCAUACAACUUAGUCAGGGUGAACUAAAGAUUACAUACCCU